GCUUGACACAUGCUAAUCGUACGACAUCAUGUUAAAAAAUGAUGUAGUGGUGUACAGGUGAGUAAAUAAUAUUUUGGCUACCUUAAAGAAAGGUUAAAUACCUUAUAUAAGAAAGAAAUUAAUAUUUCGCUUUAAGAUGUUAAUAAAUAUUUUCGGUGAAUAUAUAGUAGUAGAAAAGGUAAUAUCUUAACUAGCUAUAAACCGUAGUCGUGACUGAGAGGUCGAUCGAUCACAUUGGGUCUGAAAAAACCCCAAUGCGUAUUAGUACAGCAGUGAGGAAUAUUGGUCAAUAUUAUC
rnacentral:ncRNA from 1 species